GACGAACGCUGGCGGCGUGCUUAACACAUGCAAGUCGUACGGUAAGGUCCUUUCGGGGGUACACGAGUGGCGAACGGGUGAGUAACACGAGAGUAACCUGCCCACCACUUUGGGAUAAGGCUAGGAAACUGGAGCUAAUACUGGAUAUGUGCUCCUGCUGCAUGGUGGGGGUUGGAAAGCUCCGGCGGGUGUGGGUGGACUCGCGGCGUAUCAGCCUGUUGGUGGGGUAGUGGCCUACCAAGGCGGCGACUGGUAGCCGGCCUGAGAGGGUGACCGGCGACAUUGGGACUGAGAGACGGCCCAGACUCGGACGGGAGGCAGCAGCGGGAAAUAUUGAACAAUGAGCGCAGGCCGGGUGCAGCAGCGCUGCGGGCGGGAUAACGCCGUUCGGGUGGAAAACCGCGUACAGCAGGGACUGAGCGUAUUGUGACGGUACCUACAGAGAAAGCACCGGCUAACUACGUG
rnacentral:rRNA from 1 species